CCUACGGGGCGCAGCAGUGGGGAAUAUUGUACAAUGGGCGCAAGCCUGAUGCAGCCAUGCCGCGUGUAUGAAGAAGGCCUUCGGGUUGUAAAGUACUUUCAGCAGGGAGGAAGGCGAUAAGGUUAAUAACCUUGUCGAUCGACGUUACCCGCAGAAGAAGCACCGGCUAACUCCGUGCCAGCAGCCGCGGUAAUACGGAGGGUGCAAGCGUUAAUCGGAAUUACUGGGCGUAAAGCGCACGCAGGCGGUCUGUCAAGUCGGAUGUGAAAUCCCCGGGCUCAACCUGGGAACUGCAUUCGAAACUGGCAGGCUAGAGUCUUGUAGAGGGGGGUAGAAUUCCAGGUGUAGCGGUGAAAUGCGUAGAGAUCCGGAGGAAUACCGGUGGCGAAGGCGGCCCCCUGGACAAAGACUGACGCUCAGGUGCGAAAGCGUGGGGAGCAAACAGGAUUAGAUACCCCUGUAGUC
rnacentral:rRNA from 1 species